GGCUCAUUAAAUCAGUUAUGGUUCCUUAGAUCGUUCAUACUACAUGGAUAACUGUGGUAAUUCUAGAGCUAAUACAUGCAAAAAGCUCCGACCGUAUGGGAAGAGCGCUUUUAUUAGACCAAAACCAAUGGGGUCGCAAGAUCCCUUUGUAUGGUGACUCUGGAUAACUUUGUGCUGAUCGCAUGGCCUCGAGCCGGCGACGUAUCUUUCAAGUGUCUGCCCUAUCAACUUUCGAUGGUAAGCGAUUUGCCUACCAUGGUUGUAACGGGUAACGGGGAAUCAGGGUUCGAUUCCGGAGAGGGAGCAUGAGAAAUGGCUACCACAUCUACGGAAGGCAGCAGGCGCGCAAAUUACCCACUCCUAGAACGGGGAGGUAGUGACGAAAAAUAACAAUACCGGACUCAAUGAGGCUCGGUAAUUGAAAUGAGUACAGUUUAAAACCCUUAACGAGGAUCUAUUGGAGGGCAAGUCUGGU
rnacentral:rRNA from 1 species